CAUUAGGAGAGAGGACUCACUUAUAUAACCCAAUGGGCCGGCAUGAUCUACGAGUGCGACAACCACGAUCCUUGUAGCUUCUCGCAUUAGGGGCAUUGUUUGAAACUGCCCCAUUAUAUAAGAUCAGACCCUAUAUUCACCAUCCGGCUAGUCUCUUAGCCACUUGGCAAAACUAUCGACCUCUGUACCAAAUGCUUUUAGAGUAUGAUGAAUACAGGAGAUGCGAUAAUCUAGGAAUAGUGAGACGCUCACGAUCCCUAGAAGGCCCACAAUAGAACGCCAGAAAUAUGGGGGAGGGGUCGACCUCCCUAUAAGUAACCAACCUUACCCUAACAUUUUCUACCUCGUUAUCAAAUACUAACUUGGGAGUCAAAGGAGUUUUGUAGAUACCACCUCUGCUGCCGCUCUACUAACAACAUUCUCAUUUCUCGGACUACAGCUAAAGUCUUCUUUUUAUCUCCAACGACCUCAAGUAACGACUUAACAAUGUGUAUACCGUGAAUCCCUAUUCUUCUUCUUUUCCAUAUCAAAUGAGAGCUACCUGAUACCUACCCAUCUUUGUGAGAGCCACCUGCUCCAUCUAGCGAGUGGCGAUUGUUUGUCCCUAUCUUUGUUGUAGUCAGAGAUUAAAAUGAAGCUUCGUGUUGCAGAUGCGGCAGUGAUCUCCACUCGAUUUGUGUUCUCUCCUUAUUCGACAUCUGUUCUCAGCUACUCCGCCUACUCGUUGAGAUCCACCAUCAAUUCCCCUCCAACAGCGGACUUCAAAUCUAGGGCUUGCUCCUAUUUGACAUCCACCGCUUGCGCUUCAAACCAGGCGAACCUCUUCAUCCUAUUGGAGCGUUGCAGAUACGAUCCAUGGAUUUACUGAUGAAGAGACACUACGUGACAUCUUGGAGGCCCUUCCCCAAGAAUGGAUAUCUGAAGAUCUGAUGGAGACACUCAUGAAUAGAGGAGUUCAUCUUUCUCCUACAAUGAGUAUAAGACAUCAUUUUCAGCUAAUUUUCUUUUUAUUGGGUAUUGGUAUUUAACUAUUUAUUUUCUACCAUGUGACUUCUAUCCACUAAAAUGUGUUUGUCAUUGGCUGUAUUUAGAUUAGAAGUGAGAGACUGGGUAAAAUUUAUUGGAACUAUCACAGCUCCUAUCUAUGAGUGGCAAGGUGCUAGACCAAAGAGUGUUGGAUUUGUGCAAAGUAUUCAAGAUCGUGAUAAUUUUAUCGUUUCAUUUUGCUCUGGAGAA